GUAGGGUGCAAGCGUUAAUCGGAAUUACUGGGCGUAAAGCGUGCGCAGGCGGCUUUGCAAGGCAGAUGUGAAAUCCCCGGGCUUAACCUGGGAACUGCAUUUGUGACUGCAUGGCUGGAGUGCGGCAGAGGGGGAUGGAAUUCCGCGUGUAGCAGUGAAAUGCGUAGAUAUGCGGAGGAACACCGAUGGCGAAGGCAAUCCCCUGGGCCUGCACUGACGCUCAUGCACGAAAGCGUGGGGAGCAAACAGGAUUAGAUACCCUGGUAGUCCACGCCCUAAACGAUGUCAACUGGUUGUUGGACGGCUUGCUGUUCAGUAACGAAGCUAACGCGUGAAGUUGACCGCCUGGGGAGUACGGCCGCAAGGUUG
rnacentral:rRNA from 1 species